UGCCAGAUAACCCGCUUAUGAGGAAGAAGAAAACGCCAGAGGAACUCGCAGCCGAAGCCGAAGCCGAAGAUCAGGACGAAUUCACGAAGUUGAAAAACACCAUAGAAACACAAAUUAACGAAGUGAAACAGCAAAUAGAAGAAAAAUUUCACAUUCUUAGCGGUGG